UAUUUGUAAGCAUAAUAAUUCUAAAUAUCAAACUUUUCUUCCAAGCUAAUCUCCCUUGUUAACUUCCGUCUUGAACAGAUAUUUCUGAUCAAGAUGAGAGCAAAGUGGAGGAAGAAGCGCAUGAGGAGGUUAAAGCGCAAAAGGAGAAAGAUGAGGGCAAGAUCAAAGUAGACAGCCCUCCCCUUCACAUUUCAAGUUAAAAUCAGGAACAGGGAAGGACUUGGUGCGAAAGACAUGUGACUAUAAACCCCAUUAAUUAAUGAAGGAGAAGAAGAAGAGGAGGAAAAAGAGAGGAAGAAGAUAAAUGUGAAGCGUGGCCAGUCAUCUGUUCAGGCUUCACAUGUCGCGUGGCAUUUCACACUGGGGACAGUAGACCUAGACAUUCACUCAUCUUCAUCAUCAGUAAUCAUCAUCACCAUUAAGGCCGUGUAGCUGGACACCCAGGGAGAUUGUGAAAUUGACCGCUGAGUGUUCUCUACUUUGGCUUCCUGAUACUGUCUGCUGAAGCUCCCGGCUAUAAGCAACCUUUUCUGUUCUUGAUUUGUAUUUGAGUAAUUAAAAAAAUUGGAAAAUUG